rnacentral:rRNA from 1 species
GUGCCAGCCGCCGCGGUAAUACAGAGGGUGCGAGCGUUAAUCGGAAUUACUGGGCGUAAAGCGCGCGUAGGCGGUCUUGUAAGUCGGGUGUGAAAGCCCCGGGCUCAACCUGGGAACUGCAUUCGAGACUGCAAGACUGGAGUAUUGGAGAGGGCAGCGGAAUUUCCGGUGUAGCGGUGAAAUGCGUAGAUAUCGGAAGGAACAUCAGUGGCGAAAGCGGCUGCCUGGCCAAAUACUGACGCUCAUGUGCGAAAGCGUGGGGAGCAAACAGGAUUAGAUACCCUGGUAGUCC